GUGCUUAACACAUGCAAGUCGAACGGUGAAGCGCUUGCCUUUUUGGUGGGUGUGGAUGAGUGGCGAACGGGUGAGUAACACGUGAGUAACCUGCCCUCUUCUUCUGGAUAACCUCAUGAAAGUGGGGCUAAUACGGGGUAUUCCGGGUCUGUCGCAUGGCGGGUUUGGGAAAGAUUGCGCCUUUGGGUGUUUUCGGUGGGGGAUGGGCUCGCGGCCUAUCAGCUUGUUGGUGGGGUGAUGGCCUACCAAGGCGGUGACGGGUAGCCGGCCUGAGAGGGUGGACGGCCACACUGGGACUGAGACACGGCCCAGACUCCUGCGGGAGGCAGCAGUGGGGAAUAUUGCACAAUGGGCGCAAGCCUGAUGCAGCGACGCCGCGUGAGGGAUGGAGGCCUUCGGGUUGUGAACCUCUUUCGCCAGUGAAGCAGGCCUGCUCCUGUGUGGGUGGGUUGACGGUAGCUGGAUAAGAAGCGCCGGCUAACUACGUGCCAGCAGCCGCGGUAAUACGUAGGGCGCGAGCGUUGUCCGGAAUUAUUGGGCGUAAAGAGCUCGUAGGCGGCUGGUCGCGUCUGUCGUGAAAUCCUCUGGCUUAACUGGGGGCUUGCGGUGGGUACGGGCCGGCUUGAGUGCGGUAGGGGAGGCUGGAACUCCUGGUGUAGCGGUGGAAUGCGCAGAUAUCAGGAAGAACACCGGUGGCGAAGGCGGGUCUCUGGGCCGUUACUGACGCUGAGGAGCGAAAGCGUGGGGAGCGAACAGGAUUAGAUACCC
rnacentral:rRNA from 1 species